UUUUUUUUUGCCUUUUUC
rnacentral:sRNA from 1 species